rnacentral:rRNA from 1 species
CCUACGGGAGGCAGCAGUGAGGAAUAUUGGUCAAUGGGAGAGAUCCUGAACCAGCCAAGCCGCGUGAGGGAAGACGGCCCUAUGGGUUGUAAACCUCUUUUGUCGGAGAACAAAACCCGGGACGUGUCCCGUACUGCGUGUAUCCGAAGAAAAAGCAUCGGCUAACUCCGUGCCAGCAGCCGCGGUAAUACGGAGGAUGCGAGCGUUAUCCGGAUUUAUUGGGUUUAAAGGGUGCGUAGGCGGUACGUUAAGUCAGCGGUAAAAUUGAGGGGCUCAACCCUGUCGAGCCGUUGAAACUGGCAGACUUGAGUUGGCGAGAAGUACGCGGAAUGCGCGGUGUAGCGGUGAAAUGCAUAGAUAUCGCGCAGAACUCCGAUUGCGAAGGCAGCGUACCGGCGCCAGACUGACGCUGAGGCACGAAAGCGUGGGGAUCGAACAGGAUUAGAUACCCUGGUAGUC